rnacentral:tRNA from 1 species
GUUUUCUUAGUACAAAUAGUACAAAUGACUUCCAAUCAUUUAAUCUUGGUUUAAACCCAAGAGAAAAUA